rnacentral:rRNA from 1 species
UCGGGAAUUUUGGGCAAUGGGGGAAACCCUGACCCAGCAACGCCGCGUGAAGGAUGAAGUAUUUCGGUAUGUAAACUUCGAAAGAAUAGGAAGAAUUAAUGACGGUACUAUUUAUAAGGUCCGGCUAACUACGUGCCAGCAGCCGCGGUAAUACGUAGGGACCAAGCGUUGUUCGGAUUUACUGGGCGUAAAGGGCGCGUAGGCGGCGCGGUAAGUCACUUGUGAAAUCUCUGAGCUUAACUCAGAACGGCCAAGUGAUACUGCAGUGCUAGAGUGUGGAAGGGGCAAUCGGAAUUCUUGGUGUAGCGGUGAAAUGCGUAGAUAUCAAGAGGAACACCUGAGGUGAAGACGGGUUGCUGGGCCAACACUGACGCUGAGGCGCGAAAGCCAGGGGAGCAAACGGGAUUAGAUACCCCGGUAGUCCUGGCCCUAAACGAUGAAUACUUGGUGUCUGGAGUUUUAAUGCUCCGGGUGCCGUCGCUAACGUUUUUAGUAUUCCGCCUGGGGAGUACGGCUCGCAAGAG